rnacentral:lncRNA from 1 species
ACAAUUGUAUAAACACCAUACUUAAAAUCAUAGAAUUCAAAUAUGGAAUUAAAGAAAUAUUCAUUAAGAUCAAAGAAGUUUAUACAAUUCCAAAAACAUAAAUCAAAAAUACAAAACCCUUGGCCCUUUGUUAGGGCUGCAUCCGGCCCUAGAGAGGAGAUCAGCCUUUCAUGGAGUCGUGGGCAACAGCAGCAGCGCAGAGGUCCUUCAUUGUGACUGGCUCUUCUCUCUUUUCCCUUCCUACUCCCUUCUUAGACUAAUCCCAACACGAAUCAAACUCCUUUCAGCAUAUAUACAUAUAUAUUUUCUUUUCGUGGGGAGUAUUCCCAUAAUACCCAGAAAAAUAUUAUCUCUCCUCUCCCUUUUUGGUUUGGUGGGAACUCAGCCUGAGAAGAGAGAUGCUCCCGAAGAGAAGAACUCCUCUUUAUAUAGGCUGCCUACCUCCUAUUGCUGCGAAGAAGUUUGGAUGGAGAUAAGGAUGGAUCAAGCUGAUGAAGCUGAGAUUUGUUCGGGAUGCUCAUCCCGACUGGCCGCGGAAGAUCCGGACGUGGGAGAAAUUGAGUUGGGAGCUGAUGUGUUGAUUGCUGGAUCCUUGAAGCUUGCCGAACGGCUGGAUUGGUUGGCUGAAGUCAGUUUGAUCUUCGAUUGCAGGGGAUGGCGAUGACGUGGAAAUGGAGACGUGAGAGGAUGCUCUGCUGGAAUUAAUCCCGAAACAGGGGAAUGUUCGUUGGAUGCGGAAGAUAAUAUGAAGUUGGCUGCAAAUGCUGGAUAAGAGUGGAUCACGAAGGACAUAAGAGUUGGGAGAUUUGAGAAUCCGUGAAGCCCGUGAGGAUCUCGGUUUGGGAAGCGGCUGAGAAGAAAUCUGGGAAGAAGAUUGUGAGGGGGUGUGGUCGGCCGGGAUCCAAAAGGUUUGUUCUAUUCUUUGGACAUGGGAGAAAUUCUGGAUUCGGCUGGGAGUGGUUCUGAAACAGGGGAAGAUGCAGGAGAUUUGGAAGAAGCUGGGAGUCUUCCAUGAAUCGCGGAUGCUGGGAAGCAAUCUGAGAUUUGGUUGACGGCUUGGUUUGGUCACGGGAUGAGCGUGGAAUUUGUUGAUGGUUACGAACGGGAUGAAGAUGCAGGGGAUUCUGAGAAGAGCAUGGGACGUUGACGCGGAGAAAUCAGGGAGUUUGGCUUGAGCCAGGGGGACGACGUAAGCUAGGAAUGAUGAAGUCGGAAUGGUUGAAUGCUGUUGUAUUCUGUUUCCGUGAAGUUUGGGAUGAAGCUGAACCGAGGAAGCAGGGGAGGCGUGGGUGGAUGAAGGCCAUCGCGAACGGGAAGAAGUUGAGACUCGUGGACACCUUGCAGACCGCUGGAAUUGGAACUAAUCCGAGCUGAAGAAGAUCACAACGGGAUGAGUUGGAAAAGAUAUGGAUUGGCUCACGGAAAGAAGGAAAUGGCUGGGAGAUCAUCCUUGAAUCGUGGAUGGGAGGGAAGACACGCGAAUGGAAUGCUUGGCUUGGACGCGGUACAGGGAAUGAUCCACGGGUGCUUCGGAAGCUUGGGUGUUAGAUGAAUCUGGAACCUCACAUGCGGAAGGGAAUGACGUGGAGGAGAUACGGCUGUCGUGGAACAGGGGAGCUGAGAAGGAAGCUUACGUGGAUGGUGUGUGUGCUCACGGCUAGGAAGGCAUGGGAGGUUGGCUGGGAUGCUCCAUGCACACGUGGAAGAAAGGGACUUGUUUUAAUGGGUGAAUGCGUGAAUAAAUUGAAUGCGAAUGGCUGAGAUGUGAUACAGGGGAAUUGGGAUGAAUGGCUGAAUCAAAAUCUGAGAGGAUCUAAUUUGCAGGGUGCGUGCGAUUUGGGUUCAGAAAUUAUAAAUUUGACUUGACCUGCAUACAUUAGACUCAAUCAAUAGAAAUAAUCAAACUUGAAUUAUUUCUAAUUAAAAUGCAAUGAUGAAGGGGAAUGAAUUUUCUUAUGUUUAAAUUUAAAAUAUAUGCCUAAAAAUAAUGAUAAGUGCUAUGAGUAAGAUAUUAAUUUAUGCAUUAUUUAGCACUUAUCACACCCCCAAACCUACAUUUUGCUAGUCCUCAAACAAAAUAAAAAAAAAACUAACUCACUUUCGCAGGAAUCGCGAUUGCAUUUACCGUAUGCAAUAAGGCUUUAAACCCCUAGGUGGCCCUAGUGGACGAGUUUUGUCUCGUGAGGGUUUCCAGCUCAGAUAUCCACAAACUGCUGUCGCUACCUAAAGAAUUUGUUUUAUUGCUUUAUAAAAUCUAAUUUCAAAUGCAUAGUGCUAAAAAUUUCAAAAGCACACAAAGUUUUAAUUAGCCCAAAUCCUAGGUCAGUAUGCAACUUAAGUUGAAAUCAUUAAGUUUCCGUUAGGGAGUUGUAAGAUUUAUUUAUACUUGGGUGCUCGGUGAUAUCUAGACCAUACACAAGCUAAGGCUUUAGAUUUUCCAAAAUACUGCUAAAGCUAGUAGUUUCCAAGAAUUGGUCAGAUAAAAUCUAAUCACUGAUUCAAAAUCAUCCUAUCUUGCAGGAUUCCGAAAGUUGUGGAUGUUUACUUUAAUAUCUCAUUGGCUUUAUCUAUAAUAUUCCAGUUUAUUCAAAUUUUUACAACGACGGCUUUCACACUAUCGUCUUUUUUAAGGUCAACAUUAUUAUUAUUAUUAUUUUUCUUUUUUUCUUUUUUUUUAUUUAUAAAUUACGCACUUUUACUCUUGUAAUGAUUCCUCCGUGUAGCGAGCAUUCAGUCAACACUCCCACACCAGAUGGCAUAAGGUGUUGGGUGUUAAGACUCCCCUACGGACCUAUGCUCGGGUUCAUCAUCACAAGCCCGCUGACCUUUGAUAAUAGGUAGCCCUUUUCGAUGUACCUGACUAAAUUCACUUUUUUUCUUUUUUUUAAAUAUGGGAUAAUAGUAAAUUAGAUAGGUGUGAUUCAUCAGGACUCAGGUUGCAACCAGACUUAACAACAUAAUGUUGAACCUAACCCUUAGAAGUGUAGGCCAUGUGUGUUGUGAAAUUCCAAAGUAAAAUUUAUCUUACAACUCACUAAAAGAACUUUUAAUGAAAAGAACUCAAGUUGUCUUACUUCUGACUAAUCAUUGGGCUUGUUAGAUUUUAUAUACUUUGUGUGUUUAUCAUUUCAGCACUAAGGCAUAGAAAUUAGUUUUUUUUUGAGAUAAACUUAUUUAAAAAUACGAAAAUGUGAA